GGGAUCGCUUACUCGGAAUACUGGGGCGUAAAGCGGUGCGUAGGCGGGCUGUCUAAGUCAGAGGUGAAAUCCCCGGAGCUCAACUCGGGAACUGCCUUUGAUACUGGAAGUCUUGAGUUCCGGAGAGGUGAGUGGAACUGCGAGUGUAGAGGUGAAAUGCGUAGAUAUUCGCAGGAACACCGGUGGCGAAGGCGGCUCCCUGGACCAAUACUGACGCUGAGGCGCGAAAGCGUGGGGAGCAAACAGGAUUAGAUACCCUGGUAGUCCACGCCGUAAACGAUGACUGCUUGCCGUUUGUGCGUUUACUCAGUAGUGUCCCAACUUACGCUUUUAGCUUUCCCCCUGGGGAAUACCGGCCCAAGAGUAAAACUCCAAGGAAUUUACCGGGGCCCGCACAAACGGUGGAACAUGUGGUUUAAUUCCACGCAACCCGCAAAAACUUACCAUGCCUUGACCUUUCCCGGACCUUUCCCAAAAACCUUAGCUUCUCUUCGGAACCUGGAGCACAGGUGCUGCAUGGCUGUCGUCAGCUCGUGUCUUGAGAUGUUGGGUUAAGUCCCGCAACGAGCGCAACCCCCGUCCUUAUUUGCUACCAUUUAGUUGAGCACUCUAAGGAGACUGCCGGUGAUAAACCGCGAGGAAGGUGGGGAUGACGUCAAGUCCUCAUGGCCCUUACGGGCUGGGCUACACACGUGCUACAAUGGCGUAUGACAAUGGGAACCUAAUGGGCGAAACCUUCCCAAAUCUCAAAAAUCUGUCUCAGUUCGGAUUGGACUCUGCAACUCGAGUCCAUGAAGUUGGAAUCGCUAGUAAUCGUGGAUCAGCAUGCCACGGUGAAUACGUUCCCGGGCCUUGUACACACCGCCCGUCACACCAUGGGAGUUGGGUUUUACCUGAAGAACGGUGCCCUAACCAUCCAUGGGGGGCCUCCCGCCCUUGGUAAUUCCAGCCAACGGGGGAAACUCUACAGGGGGGUCCCCCAAAAAAAAAAUUUGUUUUU
rnacentral:rRNA from 1 species